rnacentral:lncRNA from 1 species
AUGGCGGCUACCGAGGACGCUCACGAGAACCACAGUACCUCCACUGAGAAUGCAGACAAGUCCAACCAGGACCCUCAGUAUGAGCCAAUAGUUUCUACUCCUGAGCAAGAAAUUAAAAUGCUAGAGGAAGAGGAAGAGGGACUUUUUAAUAUGUGAGUGCAACUAUUCUGAUUUGUUUCAGGGAACAAUCUUCUGGAAUGGAAGGGUGGAGGCACUGGCAACAUCAAGCUCCUGAAGCACAAGGAGAAAGGGGCCUCACGAGGAGGGACAAGACCCUGAAGAUCUGCCAGCCCCUAAGUCACACCCAUGUUGGAGCUGAAGCCCAACGCAGGCAGCCACUGGGCCUGGGUCUGCAACACCCACGCCGACUUCACCCAUGAGUGCCCAGGCCAGAGCUGCUGGCCGGCUGCUUCCUGAAUGCUGAGCAUGCACGGAAAUUCCAAAGUUCAGAGAAUGCAAAAAAGACAUCAAAGAGAGACAAAAGAAAGGACCAGGCAAAAACAAUAAUGCCGAAAAAGUGGUGGAAAAGCUAGAAGCUCUUUUGGUAAAGAGGAGACCAAGGAAGACACUGAGGAAAAGCAU